UUCCUUAUCCUUCUUCUCCUUUUCC
rnacentral:sRNA from 1 species